GACGAACGCUGGCGGCGUGCUUAACACAUGCAAGUCGAACGGAAAGGCCUGCUUUCCCUUGUGGAUUGCGGGUACUCGAGUGGCGAACGGGUGAGUAACACGUGAGUGAUCUGCCCCCAACUUGGGUAUAAGCCUGGGAAACUGGGUCUAAUUCCCGAUAGGACUGCAGGGUGGUGCCUGUGGUGGAAAACGAUUUUCUAGUAGUUGGGGAUGAGCUCGCGGCCUAUCAGCUUGUUGGUGGGGUAAUGGCCUACCAAGGCGGCGACGGGUAGCCGGCCUGAGAGGGUGGACGGCCACAUUGGGACUGAGAUACGGCCCAGACGCCUACGGGAGGCAGCAGUGGGGAAUAUUGCACAAUGGGCGGAAGCCUGAUGCAGCGACGCCGCGUGGGGGAUGACGGCCUUCGGGUUGUAAACUCCUUUCGACCGCGAGGAAGCCACCUGGUUGGAAGGGUGGUGACGGUAGUGGUAGAAGAAGCACCGGCUAACUACGUG
rnacentral:rRNA from 1 species